GUUUGUCUACAUAUUACCCUCCCAAGACCUUACUUUGUGGGACUAUACUGAGUAGUUGUUGUUGUUAUGCUAAGUAUAGUUGGCUCUAAAGUGUAAUAAGGUAGGUUGUAACUUCAAUUUUAUUAUUCUGCUUCAUUUCGAUAGCCUUUUUUCACAUGAACUCCACUCUAUAUACAGGAUAUUGUCAUGUGAAUUUCUCAUAUGUUAUUGAAGUAUUUUACAUACGAUAUCCCCAC
rnacentral:lncRNA from 1 species